CUCGGUUGGGCUUUCCCUCCGGGCUCUGUGCUUGACCCCGCCGGUCACCUGUUGCUGGAAUCCAACUGGGGCUAGAAAUAGCCCUGUGAAGCCCCGCCCCCUCCCCCCCGCUUUCCAGCCCAAGGCAGCUGCCUGGGCAGCCUGACUCCCCGGGGUGGCGGGACGCGCUGCGCCGGGCCCUAGGAAGGCGGGCCAGGCUUCUUCCGCUGCCCCGAGCCGAGGGAAAGGAGCCGCGUCCCCCCCUUCUGGUCGCUUCCCUCUGGGGCUCAGAUAAUCAAAGCUAGGGCCAGAGUCGGGCAGCUGAAGGACCCGGGGAGACAUUUUUGAGCGCCACUAGCCGCGCCAUAGAAAGAAGAAAGCAGCCCCCCCCCCCCCCAGGCGCUCCGGGUCUAAUGGGGGACGCACCGGGCUGGGGGGGGGUCCCUGGAAUGGGGGGGGCGCAGGAGAGUCUCCCUGUGGAAGUGGGGAUGGGGUGGCCUCUGCCAUCAACCUCGAUGCUCUGGGAGCCUCAGGACUCCCCCGACCCACGAGGAUCUCUUUCAGCUCAUGGUUACCCAGGCGAGAAGUAGGACUGAGCCCCAAAUGGCUCUGCCCCCCAAAGCCUGCCUCCUCACCGGAUCUUCAGGGUUGUUUAUCGGAGAAGGCACAGGACCCGAGUUCAACUCCUCCCUUUUCUCCAUACUGCCUGGAUUGCUUUCCUGGCUAAGCCUCAGUCCAGUCCUCUGUCUGGAGAGCCGCCCCACACAGAAUGGGUGGUGAGCUGCCCGAUGACCACGUGACAGGGAUUGUCCUGGACCAUGGAGUCCCAAAGCCCUGGGUUCAAAUGUAACCUCCAACACUUCCUAGCUGGGUGACCCUGGGUCCUGCUCUUCCCCGUUUCGAAGCUUGGAGCUUCCAGACCGGCCAGAGUGGGAGAAGCAGAGCUGAGCCUGAGCCACCCCCCCCUCCUGUCCUCUGGCCCGGUUGGGAUGCCCCCCCCCAACAGCUUGGCAAGCCUGGAGAAAAAGGUGGCCUGAUGAUGAAUCCAAAUAAUAGAUUAUAAGAUUAUAACAGAGCCCACGUGGCACGUCAACGGCGGUCAGCACUUUACAAAGCGCAUCCUGUUUUAAUACCACCAAUUUUCCGGGUUUCUUUUUUAAAGCUGAAAGGAGAAAAAGAGUUUGUAAAAAGAGGGCGAAGGCGAAGGUGGGCCAGAAGGACACAGCCUCUAAGAGGAAAAGCAAAAGGGGCCACUUCUCCAGCGCAGAGGGAGGGCCAAACACUUCCAUUCCCAUUGGUUUUUCCGUGGGUGGGAGCCACCCCGCAGAGGGGAUGCUGAUAAUAGAAUAAAAAUGACCCCACAUGCGUCCCGCAAUGAUGCAAUAGAAUCAAUAGAAUGUAACGAUGAACUAUACCGUAAUAAAUAUAACAUGUAAUGAAACAAGAAAUAGACCACAAGGCAACAUCACAACUGCCACCCCCAGAAACUCCAGCUCUAUUAUCAGGAAAUUCCUUGGCUCUCUUCCACCCUCCCACUCCCAGCCCAAAACAUCUGACCCUGAGAGGAUUAUCCUCCUUUGAUUGUCCCAUUGAUUGAGAUGGACAAAGAGACACACCUCGUCCAUCUGUCCUCCAAAUCAGGAGAACCAGCUCCUGCCUUGGGGAACCUCCUCCCCGACCCCUGGCCCUGGAGUCCCAUCCUCAGGGCUGUAAAAGAAUAUAAAAACCCCAGAAGUGAGGCAUUCUGGGUGCUGUUUUGUUUGCCAAAAAUUCAAUGUUACUAAUAAAUCUCUCUUCUUUUAA